GGGGCGGGCCUGGGGAAGGGACUCCCGCGGCCCUAAGGUGCUGGCGGGCGUUUGGCGUUGCAGCUGUGUGGGCGCUGGUGCGUGCGAGUAGCGCUCGAAGAAACCCAAAGGCGUCGUGGGGCUGCCGUGUGCCCCAGAGAGCACUGCAGGCCGGGUAGGGGCUAAGGCUCCCCGCAGUCUUCUGUGUGUCGUCCAGUACGCAGUUGAAAUCGUUCUCCAACCUGGCCAGUCCUCCGAGGCCCUUCUCAGGCGACCAGACUCUGUUAACAGAGUCCAUUGCUAAAACUCCUCGUUAGUAUUUACCACUCCUCCAGUCUGUGUUUUGAAGCAGUGGUUUUCAACCACUGCCCGUUUUCAGAAGAAAUCAUCUCAAGCGUCCGUGUGCUGCUAGAAGCCGGGCCGGGAGGUCUUGGUGCCGGACUCCACCCUGCAGCCCUUCCCUUUCGCCACCGCCCUGUGCUUAGAGAAACCUUAGAGUGGAGCAAUGAGUCGCCCUUGACUGAGUAACUCUUCGGGGUCAACUUCUCCUUCCACGCCAAGGAAAGGAUUCCAGGGCGAUGUUUCUGGAAAUAGAGAUCUGACCAAGCCACUGCUCUGGUGAAAAUUCAGUGGGUCCCUAGCACCUAGUGCAGCGGCUCCUAGCCUGAGUAUUGCCGUCUUUCGGUGGGGAGGGGUUGGGUUUUUUUGUAGCAUCUGUUGAUCUGAUCUCCAACAUCCUCCACGUCAAUUCCCACUCCACCCACAUCCCUUAUCCUAUACGUAAGCUUUCCAGCCACGGUGCUGGCUUGGGUGGGGGUGCGUGCGGUGCUGACACCAAAAUGGAGGUCCCGUGUUUCUGAGAGUCUCUUUCAGAGCAAUGCAAACCUGAAACUACUCCUGCCAAGAAACGAUUGCAGCUCUUCCCGGAAAAGUUAAAGCCUUUGAGAAACAAAGCUGAGUAAGAAGGAGAACUAAGAAAGAGACUGAAGCAUGGUCUGUGGAGAAGGCACUUGUGCAAACACCAGGAGAAUGAGGGGCCUGAGUUGUCUUCGUUUCUCCUAAAAGCAUGCAUUCCCGGCUGGGCGCGGUGACUCAUGCGUGUAAUCCCGCCACUUUAGAAGGCUGAGGCAGGCGGAUCACCUGAGAUCGGGAGUUCGAGACCAGCCCGACCAACAUGGAGAAACCCCAUCUCUAUUAAAAAUACAAAAUUACCCAGGCAUGGUGGCACAUGCCUGUAAUCCCAGCUACUUGGGAGGCGAAGGCAGGAGAAUUGCUUGAACCCAGAAGGCGGAAGCUGCAGAGAGCCGAGAUUUCGCCAUUGUACUCCAGCCUGGGCAACAAGAGUGAAACUCCAUCUCAAAAAACAAACAAACAAACACACAAACAAACAAACAAACACAUUCCCUCCCAGGCCACCCAAGUGAGGGCAUGAAGCACAGCGUGUGUGUGUGUGUGUGUGUGUGUGUGUGCACGCGUGUGUGCAUAUGUGUGUUUGUGUGUUGCAGGGGUUACAGUGGACAGGAUGUGGGAGGGCAGCUGCAGCUCCAAGCUGCAAGUCUUUCUGAUAGAAUGCUUAAAACUCCUUGGACCACAGCAAGAGAGUGUUUUCAUUUGCACCCAUUUUUAUUAGCGUUUGAACCUGUACUUUUUGUAGCAUGUAAACCUUAAGCUGCUUAACUAUUCCUUGAAGCAUUUACACCAGCGGUUCCCAACCUUUUUGCUACCUGAGACCAGUUUUCUUGAAGACAAUUCUUCCACGGACCCGGGAGAAGGGGAAGGGAUGAUGUGGAGAUGAUUCAAGCCCAUUACAUUUAUUGUGUGCUUCAUUUCUAUUAUUUCACUGUAAUAUAUAAUGAAAUAAUUACACAACU
rnacentral:lncRNA from 1 species